rnacentral:rRNA from 1 species
CCUACGGGAGGCAGCAGUGGGGAAUAUUGGACAAUGGGCGCAAGCCUGAUCCAGCCAUGCCGCGUGAGUGAUGAAGGCCUUAGGGUUGUAAAGCUCUUUUGUCCGGGACGAUAAUGACGGUACCGGAAGAAUAAGCCCCGGCUAACUUCGUGCCAGCAGCUGCGGUAAUACGAAGGGGGCUAGCGUUGCUCGGAAUCACUGGGCGUAAAGGGCGCGUAGGCGGCCUUGUAAGUUGGGGGUGAAAGCCCGUGGCUCAACCACGGAAUUGCCUUCGAUACUGCUUGGCUUGAGUGUGGUAGAGGUUGGUGGAACUGCRAGUG